rnacentral:lncRNA from 9 species
UGGUUUCCGGACGGAUCCCGGAAACAGAAACCUUGAAUAAGUUAUUGAAGUUCAGGCGGGAAAGCGGGAAAGCGGUGGAGCUGAGCUCCAGAUCCCAGAGGGACUAGAUGGUGUUCCAGAGGCCGCGAGAUAGCGAGCUCAAGGCUCCACAGGUAAUGGAGAAACUGACUUGUUGGGAAACUGACCUUUUCCCGCCACACAAAAUUGAAGACUAUGUUCAGAAGCAUGUUUUUCCUUUAAGGUAAAGACAUGUCUUUCCUGUGUACAAAGAUGAACCCAGCAAUUACUGCCAGGUAUGAAAAACCAGUUGCCACUUAUUGUGACAGUAAUUUUACCUCUUUGAUAUUAUCUAAUUUACAAUCCAU